rnacentral:tRNA from 1 species
UAUAUUUUGGUGUAAUAGCAUUAGAUAUUUUGAUUAUCUAGGAUUUAUUUAGUUAUAAUAAAUAUUAUAG